UGGCCCUCAUGAGUUCUUUCCUUUUGUUUAUCCCAAACAACCACCUAACCCUAUCUUAUUUCUCAAAUCUGCCGCCUCUAUAUUCUCUCAUCUCUAUCAACCCCUCAACCUUACCCUAGUUGCAUCAACCGUCGCCUCCUUUUUUCCGUCUUCUUCGCUGACUACCCGUCAAUUUCUAAGCCUAAAAUGGCUUAUCUAUUUCCAUUCUCACCUUCUCUGAGGUCUUUCAGGGCCCUGGGCCACGCUGACUUGCAUCUAGGGUUUGCCAUCUAGUCUGUUCUUGGCUACUUUAGCAUGAUUCCAAGUGAAAUCAUGUUGUACUUAUUACGAUGUUUGAGAUUUUUGACAGGUUCUUUCAUCUCUCCUUGGGUUUCUUCUGAAACCAUAAUUUUUUCUUACAUCUCCUAGAUCUGUACGAUUUUUAAACGAUUUGAGUUUAUUCCUUUGAAGUUUGCAGUAUCCUUGUAACUCUUUGCAAAAAUCAUCAGUUUCAAAGUGUUUUCACCUUCUUCUCAAAUUAGGUUUUUUAGAACUUCUUCUAAAACUUUGUUUAAACUGAUUCUUUAUAUUUAAACUUCCAUCUCUUGCAUAUUUCGAAUGAUUCUAUGAUUUUACUCCCUUUUGAACUCGCCUAUGUUGAAAACCGUAAUUUUUGAGUUCUAAUCUUGGGGUUUUGAGCUUUGUUUGGUAACGUGUUCAGUUAAUCAACAUGUUUAUGUGAUUCUGUGAUUUUACCAUAUGAUUGCUUGUUAAGGUUACUAAUUGUGGUUAUCCCUUCCUAUUGUGUGAUUUCACAAUAUUUUGUUCACCAACGUUUUUGAUUCUUCGCUUCUGCUACUUGUAUCAUAUCUAUUCUACCAAUUCAGACUAUGCUCGACAUGAAUCCCCAAUUUAUAUACGAUUCUUGUCCUACUCGACCUCUUAGAGUUUUGAUUUUUUUUACUUACUAUGUGCUUGUUCUUAUAAAGUUGUGUUAAAUUAGUGCUGUUUUCUACUUUUGGGUCAUUGAGUCUUUGUGUUCAUAUUUCACUGAUUUUGCAUGAUAUCUCUGCUUAUUUUUAACCUUGUAGAAUAUAUUUUAACCUUAUUUUGCGGUCAACUAAUGUUACUUCUCCCAAAAUAAAUUGCUCAUUAUGUUUAGUAAUUGCAUAGUCCACCAAUGUAGAGUCCCAAUCGACCCAUAUUCUGCCGCCAAGAGCUCAUCAUAGUUAUCCACCCAUUUCCAGUUUUUCAGAGAUUUCCUAAACACAGAGUCAACAUUACGUUGUUUCACUCUAUGCUUAAUUAUUGCUAUCAAUACUAUAUGAUAAAUUCUGCAAAUUUCUUUAGUUCUAUUUUUUUAUACACCUUGUUCAGACCCCUUAGAUUCCAUGCAAUAAAGUUCAUUAUGAUGUAAUAGGUAAAAUUGGAGGUCCACCCUUGACUUUCUUGUUAUGCAUUCCCUUUGUACCUAGAGCUUCAGACACUUGAGCAAUUUUAUGAGCAGUAUCAACCAAGAGCUUUGAAGAAAAAUAGAAAAGAACAAGUACGUGGCUAUUCAUUUUUAGGUUAAACGACGUGUAGUUGAAAAUCGUCGAUAGGUAAGUGCAAUUGUACAUCUAAAGCAGCUAUGGACUAAAUGAUUGAGAUACCCUAACUUGAAUUGUAAAGACACAUAAGCAACCAUGUCGAAUCUCAUGCUCUUUCUUCUAAUAUAUAGAAGAAAUUUUAUGUGACGUAGCGCUCACCCCAAAAAAGAAGUUUGUCUUUCUUUGUCUGUCGUCCGUUUAACCCUGUUUUUUUUACUUUUUUGCUCAAUAACUUUAAACCCUGUUGCUAUCACAUGCGUCAAAUUGUCAUACAAACACUGACCCUUUGCACAAAAAAAUGAAAAAAGAAAAGAAAAACAAGAACUUAUCCGAAUGAUAUGAAAGUAGAGCAACGAGCAGAACCAAAGCUUCACAAAAAUCAGCUUACAAUCUAGACAUGGCUUCCCCAACUUGAUACUUUGCUUUUUGUUCUUGUUUUUCCGGUAAGUCCCAUAAUUUUACUCCUCUUUAAUUACAUAAUUGAUAGGCAAGAUGACUGUGUGUUUCUGUUAAUCUUGGUGGGUAUUCAUUAAUUAAUUUGUUGAACUUGGAUUUUUUGGAGCUUUAUCUUUGUGUUUAUGCAGUUUGACUAGCUAUUGGACUUAAUUUCAGUUUACUUGUAAUUAUAUACUCAAAAGAUUUAAAACCCCCCAUAUACCUUUGAAUUCAUCAUCUUAAAGGAGAAAUUCCCUGUGCAAAACUCCCUCAGGAAAUUGAUUUUGAGGUUUGCAUGAACUUCCGUUCAAAUUAUGUACAUGAGGUGAAGAGUUUAAUAUAUAGUCUAAUUGACUUAUAAAUUAUGAGUAAUGUCGCCUUCGUGUGACCAACAUGUCAUGGGUUUGACCCGUGGAAAGAGUCACUUGUAGAAUUGCAGGGUAAGACUGCAUACAACAGAUUCUUGUUGUCCGGCCCUUCAGCGAAUCCCCGUAGAGCGGUAGCUUAAUUGAACCGAGCUGCUCUUCACUCUCAGCAAGUUUACUUCAAGGAUACUUUGUGCAUCGGGCUGUCAUUUUAUUAUAUUACUCAUAUGUAUGUUUCUUUUUCUGCAUUUUUGAAGGAAAGUGUAGCAAAUUUUUACCAAUAAGAAAUCUGUUUUGUUAGCUCAUACUUGAAUCUGCAGGUUGUGCCGCAUGUCAUACUGUCUACAGCUUCAAUUUGGCUUUUCAGCAGGAGAGAUCUAUGUUCAAGUAAGAUAUUCAAAGAAAAUAGAAUAAACACCUGUGUUCCCUUUUCUCUUUCUUUUCCUUGGAAUCAUGUUUGACAUAUUAAUAUAUUUCUCCCCGACAAUCCAUUCGAUUAUUCUUGGUUAAAUGGAUUGCUAGUUGUUUUGGAAAUAUAGUAUGUUGUUACGACAUUAUGGAUAAUGUAAAGCUGCAACUCAAGUCCAUGAUUAUCGGAAGUAACAUAGAAUGAUACAUUAUGGAGUCAAGAUAAGCUGUUGCUUUAGUGUAGUCAACAAAAUAUAGCUAGGAGGAGACGUAAUGAUUGGUAUCACCUGCUAACAUUCUUGAGUAGUCCAUAUUAGCACUUUGGUGAAUCUUCAUUGUCUCUAUUAUUUGAAUGAAAAGUGCAGAACCUGAAUACCUCUUGCUCAUUUUUUCUCUGUGGUCGAAGAACUUUUGUUUUUACAGUUUGACUUCGGCUUUAGAUGGUAGUAUAUAAGAGGGUCAUGCAGGGGGUCAUCAGUUUGAUUAAGUUCCAAUACGAAUUAACUAGAAGUCAGAAUCACUAGCAAAUCCGUUUAAUUUUCAUUGUGGUCUCUAAUACACAUGUUAAAGCAUUUCCACCUGUAAAGCUUCUGUAAAGAUAACUUAUGAAAAGGAGGAAGACAGUAGUGCCAGGUACUUGAUGUGAAAAUCCAAUUUCAGAUUGUUUUAUGAUGUAGUGAAUGCGACUAUUCUCUUUCAACAAGAGAUUAACUGGUCAAUCACUAACCAAAUUGUGAUCAAUUAGGAUUUUAUUUUAGGAGGGAUCCGUAGACAUAAGGGACCCAAUUUUAUGAAAGGAUGUUCGCGAGCAAAUGUACUCAUACCAUUUCCUUUUUGGGGAAAUAUGACCCAAUUAUAUGAAAGUAUGUUCGCGAGCAAAUAUACUCAUACCAUUUCCUUUUUGGGGAAAUACACAGAAAAAGAUUUCCUUUUUAAGAGGGAGAGGGAAACUACUUGGGCAUGGUAUGGAUUCCUUAAUCUGUAUCAGGCCUUCUAGUCUUUUAUAUUCAGCUGAGUUCAAACCUAAGUUCCCCGUUAAGCAUGGCAUAUCUGUGGAUUUUGUGGAAAGACUUUUGUUUUUUUGGGAGACUGUGUUUGNNNNNNNNNNNNNNNNNNNNNNNNNNNNNNNNNNNNNNNNNNNNNNNNNNNNNNNNNNNNNNNNNNNNNNNNNNNNNNNNNNNNAAGCUAGUACGAAUAUUCCCAUUUUCUCCUCUUUAAAAUACUUUUUGUCUCCAGUACAUUUGAACGCUACUGAAUGUGUAACAUAUUUCUAGCAAAGAUGAGAUAAAAAAGAAGUAACUUAGAAAGGAGUCUAAAACAGUAACACGGCAACAACAACAACAACAACCCACCAGAGUAACACGGCAACAACACUUAUCUAAAAUGCUGGAUCUUUGCAUAGUUGAUUUUGGUUUUACUGUUUUAAUGCAUUCAGUUAACCUUAUCUUCAUAAUCGUGAUACUCAAUUGUGUCUAUCUAUAUUACGUGAUGCUGGUGUAUACGCCAUAGAGUCUCUUCUCUAUCCAUCACCUUUGUGGUGCUUCACUAGUAUGCUACAUUAGUGCCUAUUACUUUCUGUUGGAACUAACAAACAGUUCGUUUUUCCACGAGGUAGUACUUCUAAUGAUACAUGUUAUUAGGGGCUGGGAGGUUCAUUAGUUGUUUCUGCUGAUGCGAGUUACGAAAGACAACAUAGACACCAGUUGAGGAGCGGUCAUCACCGUUUCCACCCCAAUCAGCAUCAGAGAAACAAUGCAUAGGUAUAGCAGAUGAAGGACGCAGCUAGACGCCAAAGUCACGCGUCCCAUUCAGAUACCGGAAGAGGAGCUUAACUGCACCCCAAUGAGUGACAGUAGGAGCGUGCAUGAACUGUGAGAGUUUAUUCACAGCAAAGGAGAUAUCAGGAUGAGUGAAGGAGAGANNNN
rnacentral:lncRNA from 1 species